UAGAUACCCUGGUAGUCCGCACAGUAAACGAUGUACACUAGGUGUCCGGUCAUAAGACUGGGUGCCAAAGCAAACGCGAUAAGUGUACCGCCUGGGGAGUAUGCCCGCAAGGGUGAAACUCAAAGGAAUUGACGGGGGCCCGCACAAGCGGUGGAGCAUGUGGUUUAAUUCGAUGGUACGCGAGGAACCUUACCUGGGUUUGACAUACACACUGAUUAUCAAGAGAUUGGUAAGCGUAGCAAUACGAGUG
rnacentral:rRNA from 1 species